rnacentral:lncRNA from 1 species
CUAAAUGUGGCACCACCUGGCUCAGAGCCCUUGUUUUCUCCAUCAUCAACAGAAAUUCCUUUGAUUUCAGCGACCAUCCUUUGCACAAAGCGAACCCUCAAGAGUUGGUCCUCUUCUUCGAAGGAUAUCUUCAUAGGUAUGGGUCAACUUCCUUCGUCGAUGGGCUUCCUUCACCUCGCCUUCUUUCAACUCACCUUCCUUACUCUUUGUUCCCAACACGCAUGACCGAUGAUACCUCGGUUUGCCGUUUCGUUUACAUCUGCCGGGAC